rnacentral:rRNA from 1 species
GAUGAACGCUGGCGGCGUGCCUAAUACAUGCAAGUAGAACGCUGAAGGAGGAGCUUGCUCUUCUUGAUGAGUUGCGAACGGGUGAGUAACGCGUAGGUAACCUGCCUGGUAGUGGGGGAUAACUAUUGGAAACGAUAGCUACUACCGCAUGACAACAGUUAUUGCAUGAUAACCGUUUAAAAGGGGCAACUGCUCCACUACCAGAUGGCCAUGCGUUGUUUUAGCUAGUUGGUGAGGGAACGGCUCACCAAGGCGAAGAUACAUAGCCGCCCUGAGGAGGUGGACGACCCAAACGGGAAUUGGACAACGGUCAAGCUUCCACGGGGGGGCACAAGAGGGAAAUAUCGGACAUGGAGCGAAGUCUGAACGAACCACGCCGCGUUGGUUGAGGAAGGUCUUCGAUUGUAAAGCUCUGUUGUAAGGGAAGGACGAGUAGGAGGGUGGAAAGUUCACGCUGUGACGGUAUCUAAACAGAAAGCAACGGCUAACUACGUG